rnacentral:misc_RNA from 1 species
GAAAUGCGUUAAGUAAUGUGAAUUGCAGAAUUCAGUGAAUCAUCGAAUCUUUGAACGCACAUUGCGCCCGCCAGUAUUCUGGCGGGCAUGCCUGUUCGAGCGUCAUUUCAACCAUCAAGCCCCCGGCUUGUGUUGGGGACCUGCGGCUGCCCGCAGGCCCUGAAAAACAGUGGCGGGCUCGCUGUCACACCGAGCGUAGUAGCAUACAUUCUCGCUCAGGGCGUGCUGCGGGUUCCGGCCGUUAAACGACCUUCAUAACCCAAGGUUGACCUCGGAUCAGGUAGGAAGACCCGCUGAACUUAAGC